rnacentral:tRNA from 1 species
GGGCGGGUAGUUCAGCCUGGUAGAACGCUGCCUUCGCAAGGCAGAGGCCCCGGGUUCAAAUCCCGGUCCGUCCA